UACAGGGGGUGCAAACGUUGCUCGGAAUCAUUGGGCGUAAAGCGCACGUAGGCGGUCUGUUAUGUCGGAUGUGAAAGCCCUUGGCUUAACUGAGGAAGUGCAUCCGAAACUGGCAGGCUAGAGUACUAAAGAGGGUCGCGGAAUUCCCGGUGUAGAGGUGAAAUUCGUAGAUAUCGGGAGGAGCACCGGUGGCGAAGGCGGCGACCUGGGUAGAUACUGACGCUGAGGUGCGAAAGCGUGGGGAGCAAACAGG
rnacentral:rRNA from 1 species